UAUCGACUCUUAUCUCCUGGGGUGGUCAGAAUUUGAUAGUUGGUGGAGACUUCAACUUGGUCGUCGACCCAUCCAUGGACAGAUCCAGGACCGGGUUGCCUAGCAAUGCACCAAGCCGACAGGGAGCGUGAGAGAUGCGCGCCAUCAGUGAUGACGUCAUCAAGUCCCGACUCCUGGUGGAGUUUGCAGGUGGCACGACUAUGGAGAAGAGUCUACUUAGCAAUCCGUAACGAGAACUACAGGGAUAUAAUUUCUACCAAAAUUUCUACAGCAUCUUUAUUUACCAGGAGACCCUCGAGUAGAGACAUCUUCACAGAUGUCUUCAUUGGGUGGCCCGGUCGUUCUCAUGACGCGAGAGUUCUUGCAAAUUCGGAGUUAUUCCGCCUAGCAGAUGAGUGAAAAGCUGGGUGGCUUUUCCCAAGAGAGAUAUCAAAGUCAGUCGAUGGAGUGGACAUCCCCGUGCACGUCAUCGGCGAGGCAGCCUACCCAUUAUGGUGAUGGUUAAUGAAGGGCUACACGCAACAUGUCUGCCUGACCCCCAACCAGAUUGCAUUUACUCACACCCUUAGUUCAGCCAAGAUGGUGGUUGAAAAUGCAUUUGGGCGCUUAAAAGGCCGUUGGCGGUAUCCAAUGAAGCAUAAUGAUAUUGACCUUAUGUUCAUGCCUAACAUUGUGGCAGCAUGUUGCAUUCUCCACAACCUUUGUGAGCUAAGGAGAGAGGAAUUUCUGCAGGGCUUGGAUUUAGAGUACCCAGCGGUUGACAGUGAUCCCUAUUCUGGGGAUCAUACCUACAGUUCAGAACAGAUAUGGGCAGCCCUAACGACCAACCUUCCGUCAUUAUUAGCCUAAAGUUAAUUCUGUUUCUUGGUGUUUCCAAUCUGACCUCAUUAUUACUUUACAUUUAUUCAUGUUUUGCUAUAAAAUAAAAACCUGUUUAGUUGCGUUGAACUACUGUUUGAAAUUUUAAACCUUAACUUUAACACUCAUAACAUGGGAAACAUCAAAACAGAUGUUUAAUGUACAUAUUAAAACAUUGAUAAGAUCUGCAAUUGAACAUUGAUAAAACAUUGUAAAAUCUGCAGUUGUUUUUCCAAUAUAUAACAUCCUUACAAAAUUUUUACAUAUGGCUUGCUUUAGUAAAAUUUACACUAUUAAGAUUAACAAACGGGCACUUAUGAAAGAUUCCUAUACACAGGAUAUUCCGGAUUUUCUAGAUUUUGAGCAGGUUGGGAGGGAUCAAAGUAAAGCCUAGUGUUGUACUGGGGAAAAGGCUGAGUAGGGAAGAGCUGAGCUUGAUGCUGGGGUGGGAUUGUGCGCUGGCCUUGAGGGUUGGAAUACAUUUUUUCAAAUAAAGCCAUUUGAAAUGAUUGGCUCUCUCUUUGCCUCUCAUGUGCAUCUCUCAUAAAGUGCUCCUGCAUUGGCCUCAUCUCGUUGAGGAAUGAUGCCUGUAUUUCACGCUCAAACUGCAUGAAUCUCUCCUGCCGAGCAUCUUCCCGUUUGGCCAAAGCAUCAUCCAUUUCCUCUAGUUUCUCCACUAGAAUACUGGUCAUGGCUCUUGCUGCUUGUUCAGUCUUAUUCGGUCUCCUCCUCCUUGGCGGAAUCGUAUAUACUUCAGAGAGAAGAGGAAAAAAAGGGAUUUGCAGUGAGCGAAUAUAAAAAAAAGCAGUGGUGUAAGUAAACAUGUUUGUGACCAACUCCCACCUGCACACAACCUGCACUCUGCAACAUUUAUUAAAUUGUUUAGUAUUUGGACUGUAUGAUGAAUUUUAUGAGUAUAUCUUUUAAAUGUAAACUAAAUGGUCACCAUAGGCAACUUCUCCACUGUUACACUUCUCAACUAUAUUUCAACUUCAUACAUGUACCACAGUGUGAAAUGCGUAUUAUAUAAAUAAUGUAUAUUACAUUUAUAUUAAAAAUGCUUACU